rnacentral:rRNA from 1 species
GAGACCGGCGCACGGGUGCGUAACGCGUAUGCAAUCUACCUUUUACAGAGGGAUAGCCCAGAGAAAUUUGGAUUAAUACCUCAUAGUAUUGUGAAGUGGCAUCACUUUAUAAUUAAAGUCACAACGGUAAAAGAUGAGCAUGCGUCCCAUUAGCUAGUUGGUAAGGUAACGGCUUACCAAGGCUACGAUGGGUAGGGGUCCUGAGAGGGAGAUCCCCCACACUGGUACUGAGACACGGACCAGACUCCUACGGGAGGCAGCAGUGAGGAAUAUUGGACAAUGGGCGCAAGCCUGAUCCAGCCAUGCCGCGUGCAGGAUGACGGUCCUAUGGAUUGUAAACUGCUUUUAUACGAGAAGAAACACUACUUCGUGAAGUAGCUUGACGGUAUCGUAAGAAUAAGGAUCGGCUAACUCCGUGCCAGCAGCCGCGGUAAUACGGAGGAUCCAAGCGUUAUCCGGAAUCAUUGGGUUUAAAGGGUCCGUAGGCGGUUUAGUAAGUCAGUGGUGAAAGCCCAUCGCUCAACGGUGGAACGGCCAUUGAUACUGCUGAACUUGAAUUAUUAGGAAGUAACUAGAAUAUGUAGUGUAGCGGUGAAAUGCUUAGAGAUUACAUGGAAUACCAAUUGCGAAGGCAGGUUACUACUAAUUGAUUGACGCUGAUGGACGAAAGCGUGGGUAGCGAACAGGAUUAGAUACCCUGGUAGUCCACGCCGUAAACGAUGGAUACUAGCUGUUGGAAGCAAUUUCAGUGGCUAAGCGAAAGUGAUAAGUAUCCCACCUGGGGAGUACGUUCGCAAGAAUGAAACUCAAAGGAAUUGACGGGGGCCCGCACAAGCGGUGGAGCAUGUGGUUUAAUUCGAUGAUACGCGAGGAACCUUACCAAGGCUUAAAUGUAGUUUGACCGAUUUGGAAACAGAUUUUUCGCAAGACAAAUUACAAGGUGCUGCAUGGUUGUCGUCAGCUCGUGCCGUGAGGUGUCAGGUUAAGUCCUAUAACGAGCGCAACCCCUGUUGUUAGUUGCCAGCGAGUCAUGUCGGGAACUCUAACAAGACUGCCAGUGCAAACUGUGAGGAAGGUGGGGAUGACGUCAAAUCAUCACGGCCCUUACGCCUUGGGCUACACACGUGCUACAAUGGCCGGUACAGAGAGCAGCCACUGGGCGACCAGGAGCGAAUCUAUAAAACCGGUCACAGUUCGGAUCGGAGUCUGCAACUCGA